rnacentral:rRNA from 1 species
AGCAGUCGCCGCGGUAAUACAGAGGGUGCGAGCGUUAAUCGGAUUUACUGGGCGUAAAGCGUGCGUAGGCGGCUUCUUAAGUCGGAUGUGAAAUCCCUGAGCUUAACUUAGGAAUUGCAUUCGAUACUGGGAAGCUAGAGUAUGGGAGAGGAUGGUAGAAUUCCAGGUGUAGCGUUGAAAUGCGUAGAGAUCUGGAGGAAUACCGAUGGCGAAGGCAGCCCCCUGGACAAAGACUGACGCUCAGGUGCGAAAGCGUGGGGAGCAAACAGGAUUAGAUACCCCCGUAGUCCCUGUCUCUUAUAC